GUGUCAAAGCAUAGCAGCGUACCUGAAAGCCUUGCUAUGCCCAGCCUUCAAGAAGGGUUGUGCAGUGGUACCUCAAACCGGAGUAGGUCUCAAAGCCGAAAGAAAAUGCU
rnacentral:sRNA from 1 species